AGGACGAACGCUGGCGGCGUGCUUAAUACAUGCAAGUCGAACGAGGUUCACUUCGGUGGGCCUAGUGGCGAACGGGUGAGUAACACGUGAGCAACCUGCCCCGAAGACCGGGAUAACAGUGGGAAACCGCUGCUAAUACCGGAUACCCCCACCGGGUUACAUGGUCUGGUGAGGAAAUGGAUUCCGCUUCGGGAGGGCUCGCGGCCUAUCAGCUUGUUGGUGGGGUAACGCCUACCAAGGCUUCGACGGGUAGCUGGUCUGAGAGGACGAUCAGCCACACUGGGACUGAGACACGGCCCAGACUCCUACGGGAGGCAGCAGUAGGGAAUCUUGCGCAAUGGGCGAAAGCCUGACGCAGCAACGCCGCGUGAGGGAUGGAGGCCUUCGGGUUGUAAACCUCUUUCAGCAGGGACGAUUGUGACGGUACCUGCAGAGAAGCCCCGGCAACUACGUGCCAGCAGCCGC
rnacentral:rRNA from 1 species